rnacentral:tRNA from 1 species
AAGGAUGUAGCUCAGUGGGUAGAGCAUUUGCCUACUGUGCAUAAAGAUCUUGGUUCAACACCUAGUACCACUU